rnacentral:rRNA from 1 species
CCUACGGGUGGCUGCAGUGAGGAAUAUUGGUCAAUGGGCGCGAGCCUGAACCAGCCAAGUAGCGUGAAGGAUGACUGCCCUACGGGUUGUAAAUUUCUUUUAUAAAGGAAUAAAGUGAGGCACGUGUGCCCUUAUGUAUGUACUUUAUGAACAAGGAACGGACAACUCCGCGCCAGCAGCCGCGGUAAUACGGAGGAUCCGAGCGUUAUCCGGAUUUAUUGGGUUUAAAGGGAGCGUAGGUGGGUUGUUAAGUCAGAUGUGAAAGUUUGGGGCUCAACCGUAAAAUUGCAAUUGAUACUGGCAGUCUUGAGUACAGUUGAGGUAGGCGGAAUUCGUGGUGUAGCGGUGAAAUGCGUAGAUAUCACGAAGAACUCCGGUUGCGAAGGCAGCUUACUGGACUGCCACUGACGUUGAGGCGCGAAAGUGUGGGUAUCAAACAGGAUUAGAUACCCCAGUAGUC